rnacentral:rRNA from 1 species
UGGUGGAGCGAUUUGUCUGGUUAAUUCCGUUAACGAACGAGACCUCGGCCUGCUAAAUAGCCACGCCGGCCGCUCCCGCAAGGGGAACCUGGCCGGUGGCCGCGCUUCUUAGAGGGACCGCCCGACCCCAGCGGACGGAAGCCCGAGGCAAUAACA